rnacentral:rRNA from 1 species
CUCNUAGCGNNGUGCGGAAGGAUCAUUAUUGAAAUAAACUUAGGGGUUGUUGCUGGCCUUUCAAGGGCAAUUUUGUGCACGCCUCUAUCUAUUUCCCUUUAACACCCCCAUUGUGCAUCUUGUGUAGGUUAACGUAAAGUUAAUCUAUGUUUUUAUUUUUAUACCUUUGUUUUUGAAUGGGAAUGUAAUUUUUUAAACCCUCAGUAAGCUCUCAUUUUGGAGCUGAAAAGGAAAUAAAUAUGUGUACAACUUUCAACAACGGAUCUCUUGGCUCUCGCAUCGAUGAAGAACGCAGCGAAAUGCGAUAAGUAAUGUGAAUUGCAGAAUUCAGUGAAUCAUCGAAUCUUUGAACGCAUCUUGCGCUCCUUGGUAUUCCGAGGAGCAUGCCUGUUUGAGUGUCGUGAAGUUCUCAAAUCCCCUUUUUCCUAAGGAGGGUUUGGAAUUUGGAGGUGCGUGCUUUGUUGUGAAAAACCUCCUCUUUGAGGUGGUUUAAUUAAGCUCCUCUAAAAUGUAUUAGUGAAAACCUAUCCUGCUCUCAAGAUGGUGCAAAGCUUUGGUUUUGAUAAUGUCUUUAUCUUAUAAGCUAUUGCUUUUAGCCCCAAAGAUAUUCUUGGGAAGUGGUGGGGUCUGCUUUACAAACAAAAUUGACACUUUUGACCUCAAAUCAGGUAGGACUACCCGCUGAACUUAAGCAUAUCAUUAAGCGGAGGAACGGGGGAGCAUANCA